ACGGGAGGCAGCAGUGGGGAAUAUUGCGCAAUGGGGGAAACCCUGAUGCAGCGACGCCGCGUGAAGGAAGAGGUAUCUCGGUAUGUAAACUUCUAUCAGCAGGGAAGAUAAUGACGGUACCUGACUAAGAAGCCCCGGCUAACUACGUGCCAGCAGCCGCGGUAAUACGUAGGGGGCUAGCGUUAUCCGGAUUUACUGGGUGUAAAGGGAGCGUAGACGGAACGACAAGUCUGAUGUGAAAGGCAGGGGCUCAACUCCUGGACUGCAUUGGAAACUGUCGGUCUUGAGUGCCGGAGGGGUAAGCGGAAUUCCUAGUGUAGCGGUGAAAUGCGUAGAUAUUCGGAGGAACACCAGUGGCGAAGGCGGCUUACUGGGCUCUAACUGACGCUGAGGCUCGAAAGUGUGGGGAGCAAACAGGAUUUGAUACCCUGGUA
rnacentral:rRNA from 1 species